GACGAACGCUGGCGGCGUGCUUAACACAUGCAAGUCGAACGGAAAGGCCCUUCGGGGUACUCGAGUGGCGAACGGGUGAGUAACACGUGGGUGAUCUGCCCUGCACUUUGGGAUAGGCCUGGGAAACUGGGUCUAAUACCGGAUAGGACUACGCGAUGCAUGUCGUGUGGUGGAAAGCUUUUGCGGUGUGGGAUGGGCCCGCGGCCUAUCAGCUUGUUGGUGAGGUUAUGGCUUACCAAGGCGACGACGGGUAGCCGGCCUGAGAGGGUGACCGGCCACACUGGGACUGAGAUACGGCCCAGACUCCUACGGGAGGCAGCAGUGGGGAAUAUUGCACAAUGGGCGCAAGCCUGAUGCAGCGACGCCGCGUGAGGGAUGACGGCCUUCGGGUUGUAAACCUCUUUCAGCAGGGACGAAGCGCAAGUGACGGUACCUGUAGAAGAAGGACCGGCCAACUACGUGCCAGCCGCCGCAGUAA
rnacentral:rRNA from 1 species